GAUGAACGCUAGCGGCAGGCUUAAUACAUGCAAGUCGUGGGGCAGCAUGAAUGUAGCAAUACAUUUGAUGGCGACCGGCAAACGGGUGCGGAACACGUACACAACCUUCCUAUAAGUGGGGAAUAGCCCAGAGAAAUUUGGAUUAAUACCCCGUAAUAUCACGAUGUGGCAUCACAUUGUUAUUAUAGCUUCGGCGCUUAUUGAUGGGUGUGCGGCUGAUUAGAUAGUUGGCGGGGUAACGGCCCACCAAGUCUACGAUCAGUAGCUGAUGUGAGAGCAUGAUCAGCCACCCGGGCACUGAGACACGGGCCCGACUCCUACGGGAGGCAGCAGUAAGGAAUAUUGGUCAAUGGACGCAAGUCUGAACCAGCCAUGCCGCGUGAAGGAUUAAGGUCCUCUGGAUUGUAACCUUCUUUUAUCUGGGACGAAAAAAGGCUUUUCUAAGUCACUUGACGGUACCAGAUGAAUAAGCACCGGCUAACUCCGUGCCAGCCGCCGCUGUAAUAC
rnacentral:rRNA from 1 species